UACGUAGGGUGCAAGCGUUAAUCGGAAUUACUGGGCGUAAAGCGUGCGCAGGCGGUUUUGUAAGUCAGAUGUAAAAUCCCCGGGCUUAACCUGGGAACUGCGUUUGAAACUACAAGGCUAGAGUGUGGCAGAGGGGGGUGGAAUUCCACGUGUAGCAGUGAAAUGCGUAGAGAUGUGGAGGAAUACCGAUGGCGAAGGCAGCCCCCUGGGAUGAUACUGACGCUCAUGCACGAAAGCGUGGGGAGCAAACAGG
rnacentral:rRNA from 1 species